CGGGUAUAGUUUAGUGGUAAAA
rnacentral:tRNA from 1 species